rnacentral:sRNA from 2 species
UUCUAGCCCCGAUUGAAGCAAUUGUUUGAGCUCCUUUUUGUUUUUUUAAACAAAAAGAGCGAGUGCGGAAAGCGGGAAAUAGC